UGGCUAUGAUGAAAAAAAGGCCGGUCUUACAGCUGCUCUGGUUUCUAUCAGCAGGUAGCAGUAUGAUGCUUCUCCAAGGUACUUCUGAGCCAU